UUUCCGUAGGUGAACCUGCGGAAGGAUCAUUAGUGAAUCUAGCGUGUCUUCGGAGCGCGAACUCUCACUUUACACACUGUGCACUUUAUUCAGCGGAUGACGAGGCUUUCGAGUCGAGUCUCUGCGCUCACAUUUAAACACGAGUUGAUGUAUGUCAAUAUAUUAAAACAAAGAAAAACUUUCAACAACGGAUCUCUUGGCUCUCGCAUCGAUGAAGAACGCAGC
rnacentral:misc_RNA from 1 species